CGGCGAACGGGUGAGUAACACGUGAGGAACCUGCCCCGAAGUCUGGGAUAACCCGAGGAAACUCGAGCUAAUACCGGAUUCCCUCCUCUGGUCGCAUGGCCGGUUGAGGAAAGAUUUAUCGCUUCGGGAGGGCCUCGCGGCCUAUCAGCUAGUUGGCGGGGUAACGGCCCACCAAGGCGUCGACGGGUAGCUGGUCUGAGAGGACGAUCAGCCACACUGGGACUGAGACACGGCCCAG
rnacentral:rRNA from 1 species